AGCCGUGCAGUGAGCACAGAGCGAACUAUUCUUUCGCCUUUAACUAAAGAAUACCGUGUGCUUGUUGUAGAUAGCGGCAUACACCAAUUUUUGGAGGGGCUUUCCCGGUAGGGAUU
rnacentral:snRNA from 1 species